rnacentral:rRNA from 1 species
AUUGAACGCUGGCGGCAUGCUUUACACAUGCAAGUCGAACGGUAACAGGCCGCAAGGUGCUGACGAGUGGCGAACGGGUGAGUAAUGCAUCGGAACGUGCCCAGUCGUGGGGGAUAACUACUCGAAAGAGUAGCUAAUACCGCAUACGAUCUAUGAAUGAAAGCGGGGGACCGUAAGGCCUCGCGCGAUUGGAGCGGCCGAUGUCAGAUUAGGUAGUUGGUGGGGUAAAGGCUCACCAAGCCAACGAUCUGUAGCUGGUCUGAGAGGACGGCCAGCCACACUGGGACUGAGACACGGCCCAGACUCCUACGGGAGGCAGCAGUGGGGAAUUUUGGACAAUGGGCGCAAGCCUGAUCCAGCAAUGCCGCGUGCAGGAAGAAGGCCUUCGGGUUGUAAACUGCUUUUGUACGGAACGAAACGGCUCUGGUUAAUACCCGGGGCUAAUGACGGUACCGUAAGAAUAAGCACCGGCUAACUACGUG